rnacentral:tRNA from 1 species
GUGGCUCAGUUGUAGAGUGCUUGCCUUGCAUGCAUGAGGCCCUGGGUUCGAUUCCUACC